CUCCUUUCCCAACCAAAUCUCCUCCUCUAGACCCAACCCGCUCAACACCCUGUAGCCACAACCAAAUCACCCACACAACCACCUUCUCCCCUCCCUCUUCCCCCUCCGAACCCAAUAUUUUGCUCCCCUCCUCCACAAUCAACUUUCCCCCUCUCUCUAUUAUCAAACUCCAACCCUUAUUCUAUGCAUUGCCUAAAACCAUUCCUCAUGAACCCAAAUUCCCAAAAUCAAAAGCUAGAGAUUAAGAGUAAAGAGUCACACAAUUUUUUAUUAUUCAAGAUCGGAGGUGAAGGACUUCGAGACUUGAAAGCAGAAGAAAAGCUACCACAAGGGCUUAUGGGGUGGCUGUGGGAGUGGUUGGGGAGAGGUUGCAAGAUUGGACCAAAUACUCUAUACGUGAAUAUAAAUAGGGUAAUUUAAUAAAAAUUGGGGAUUCUACUUGAAUUGC
rnacentral:lncRNA from 1 species